AUAGGUGAGUUUGGUGAUGGCUCUGAUUGAACGCUGUCCAAAUGCUUGACACAUGCUAAUCGUACGUUUAAUUUAUAGCUUUUCGGAUAUUGGUAUCUGAGCUCCAUUAUUUUAGGUAGUGGUGUAAUAUUUUAUCCCCUUUGGGUCCCCCUCCUAAUGGAAGGACCAGAAGGGAACAAUAUAUUGAAGGUUUAUUAAAAGUGGUGUACAGGUGAGUGUAAGAUAUUCGGCCGACCUUGAAGAGAGGUAAAAUAAAUACCUCAUAAAUAAAAUAGUUUUUGACAGCUGUUUUUGGAUAAAAGGUGUAAAGCCGCUUUAAGAGGAAAAGGUAUCUGUCGGGAUAGGUAGUAGUUAAGGUAAUGGCUUAACUAGCCAAUAAUUCUCGGAGUCGAAGCUGAAAUGGUUGAUCGACCACAUUGGGAAUGAAAAAAUCCCAAGGCAUAAUUGUACAGCAGUGAGGAAUUUUGGUCAAUGGCCUAACGGCUGAACUGGCAACUUGGAUGAACGGACCGACUCUUACCCAAAGGUUACAUAAUUAUUCUUUUUUAUGUAACUAGUAGGGUAAGAGUGCAGGAGAUCUUUUUUAGGAGUAAAGUUCUAAAUAUAUGUUUGAUAAUGACAAUAUAUAUAUUAUGUCCUGACCAAUUACGUGCCAGCAGUCGCGGUAAUACGUAUGGGACUAGUGUUAUUCAUCUUAAAUAGGUUUAAAGGGUUCCUAGACGGCUAAUGCCACCUUUAAAAGGUAACUAGUUAGCUAGAGUUUUAUGUGAAGAGGUCGUACUUUUGAGUGGAGAGUUUAAAUUUUUUGAUACCUGAAGGACGGAUAAAGGCGAAGGCAACCUCUUAUGUAAAAACUGACGUUGAGGAACGAAGGCAUUGCGUCACGAAAAGGAUUAGGGACCCUAGUAGUCUUUGCAGAAAAUGAUGAGUGCCAUAGAUUAGGUUAAUUCUUGGUCUAUAAAUGAAAGUGUAAGCAUUCCACCUCAAGAGUAAUGCGGCAACGCAGGAACUGAAAUCACUAGACCGUUUCUGACACCAGCAGUGAAGUAUGUGUGCGACAAGAAGCGAAUAUUAGUAAUGUGGUGAGAUUCCAUCAGGUAUUUUCUCUACCUGACACUACCUACACAUGCAAAGCAGUAAUGGUUUGUGUGAAGCUGUAGGGACAAUGUAGCCUACCUUGAAUGGUGAUGCAGAUAGAAAAAUCUUCAGGAGCUAGUGUAAGUAAGACAUGGAAAGCGAAAGUUAAAGUAGCAAUGACGCUUCGUAGUACUAGUCAUAUUGGAAGGUAAUAGGUUCUACAUACUAAUCUAUUAGAGAAACCGUAUUUCCAGCGAAGUAAAGCUACUUUCCUAAAUCUUAUGUUAUUUGUGCUAAUAUUUGAACUUGGUAACUCCUUUAUUUUCAGUAAUGAAUAUAUUCAUUAAAGAGGUAACAUAUAAGGUUAUAUGCUGAAGUUGUUAUAACGAAUAAAGGAGAGAGGAGAAGUUAAAAAGCAAAUGCUUAACUUAGAUUUCAAUUGAAGCGAAUUUAGGUUAUAGAUAAAGACGUAAAGUUAAUGUUAUUGAUAAAAAGUUUAAGGAGGAUAAACUAACGAAAAUGUCAUUAGUUUGAUUUACUCAAGCUACGAUAGAUACCCUGGACGAAAUCUAAUAGAGACAAUAAGCUACGAAGGAUACCUGGACGUGAUCCUACCUUAAUUAAGGUUUGUCUCUAAGUUUUUUAAAUUAAUGCUUAGAUAUAUAAUUGUAUUGUUUGCUUAAAAAUAUUAAGGUUUAUAUUGAAAAAUAAUUUUGAAAUAUUAUGAAAGUUUUAGAUAAAGAAAUUAAAAGUAAAAGCCCUAAUCCUAGUACUACUACAGUUGUAGAUAGCCCUAAAAUAAAUGAUAAUACUAAAGAGAAAAAGUUAAUACUAAAUCCGUGAUUUAUCACAGGACUUGUAGAUGCAGAGGGUAGUUUUGUAGUAAAUAUUGUACAAGAUUCAGGUAGAAGUUUAGGUUUUUUAGUUUUAGCUUAUUUUGAGAUUGCGCUUAAUGAAAAAGAUCGAGAUAUUUUAAUGGGAAUACAAGAAUAUUUAGGUAUUGGUAAUAUAUCUUUCAAUUCAUCUGACAACACUUUUAAAUUAAAAGUGUCAGGUUUAGAUGGUUUGAGUAAUGUAAUUAUUCCACAUUUCCAGCAAUAUUUUUUACUAACUAAAAAACGUAUUGAUUUUGAAUUGUUUAGCCGUGUAGUAAAAAUAAUGAAAGGUGGAGAUCACCUUAACCUUAAUGGUUUACAGGAAAUAGUAAAUAUAAAAGCUUCAUUAAACUUAGGUUUAAGUGAUAAAUUAAAAGCUUAUUUUCCUGAGACCUUACCAGCGGUUAGACCUGAAUUUAAUAUAACAAGUAUUCCUGAUCCAUGAUGAUUAGCAGGAUUUGCUGAAGGUGAGUCUUGUUUUUUUAUUAGAGUUUAUAAAUCAGAAAAGUCUAAACAAGGUUUUGCCGUACAAUUAGCACUUAUAAUAACUCAACAUUCUAGAGAUAAAGAGUUAUUAAAAGUUAUAGCUCAAUUUCUAGGGUGCGGUAGAGUUGAGGAUCGUUCAAAUGGCGGUGCUUGUGAUUUUACAGUGAAUUCUAUUAAGGAUUUUAAAAAUAAAAUUAUACCUUUCUUUAGUAAAUAUCCUCUUUUGGGUACAAAAAGUUUAAACUUUCACGAUUUUGUUAAAGUUUUUGAGUUAAUGAAAACAAAAAAGCAUUUAACAGAAGAAGGCUUAGCUACCAUAAUAAAUAUUAAAUCGGGAAUGAAUACAGGUAGAAAUUCAACUUAGUAUUUAAUAUUUUUGAUAUUAUCAAUAAUAAAAUUUUACGUUUAUUAAGAUUAAAUUCCAGAGUUUAUCUUAAUAUAGCUGACUUAACAUGCGGCAUAAAUUGGCAAAGAAGGGUGGUAGGUAUGUUAGAGUAAACCUUUUUUUGCUUGGGGCGAGGGCUCCUGUAGAAAAUUUAUGUUUGAGCCGUAUGCGAUGAAAGUCGCACGUACGGUUCUUAGAGGGGGAAAGUUCGAGAGGACCUACCUAUCUCAACUGUUUAAUUCGAUGACCCACGAAAAAUCUUACCACAAUUUGAAUAGAAUAGAGUAAUAAAAACCCAAGAGUUUGCCAAAUAUUAUUUUUUUAGUAUGAAUGAUAUCUAAGGUGUUCGUUCAUAGUUAUUAGAAAGGGAAUAUUUGAUCCUUGGAUGUUUUAGAAAGUUUAUUCAUACAAGUGUUGCACGGCUGUUUCCAGUUAAUGUUGUGAAACUGUGGCAAAAGCCAUGGAAUUAACGUAAACCUGAGCUUUAUUUGUGAAUAUAUUAUUUUGAUAAAGCUACAUCAUCUGCUAUAUUGGAUUUGAUAACAGGGACUAAGACAAGUCAUCAUGGCCUGCUGGAUGAUUUAGGAAAUCAUCUAUGUGGGUGAGACUAUCAAACUCCGGGGACAUCCUAAAACUUUUGGUACCAAGCUAUAUAUGAAAAUAUAUUGGUGGGUGGAGUCAUUAUCCAUGUACGGUAAUAAGCCAAAAGAUAAUCGAAAGAGCAAUGGAUUAUCGCGGAUCUAAAUCAAUUAUAAAUUUUAUACCCACAAGCCAAAAUUUUAUAGUUGUAAAAGAGCAACGAGUAGACGGUAGUCAAUGCAGUAAUAAUUUAUUGCGUUUAAGGUGUAUUCUAAUGGGUUUCGAAAGAAAUUAUCAAGUCAAAAUCCUUUCUAACCAAAUAAAUAAUUUAAGAAGGUAUAUUUCAAUCACAACCCACAAGCCAACAAAAACUUCUUCUAGUUUUAAUCCUUGAUUUUUAACAGGAUUUUCUGAUGCUGAAUGUUCUUUUUCUAUAUUAAUUCAGGCUAAUAGUAAAUAUAGUACGGGUUGAAGAAUUAAACCUGUAUUUGCUAUAGGUCUUCAUAAAAAAGAUCUAGAGCUAUGCUAUUAAAAAGAAUUCAAUCUUAUUUAGGGGUAGGUAAAAUUCAUAUUCACGGGAAAGAUUCUAUACAGUUUCGUAUAGAUUCUCCUAAAGAAUUAGAAGUGAUUAUAAAUCACUUUGAAAAUUAUCCACUGGUAACUGCUAAAUGGGCUGAUUAUACUUUAUUUAAGAAAGCUUUGGUUAUAAUUCUACUUAAAGAACAUUUAUCUCGAAAAGGUUUAUUGAAAUUAGUAGGUAUCAAAGCUUCACUUAAUUUAGGUCUUAAUGGUUCUUUAAAAGAAGCCUUUCCUAAUUGAGAAGAGUUACAAAUAGAUAGACCUAGUUAUGUUUUUAAGGGUAUUCCUGAUCCUAAUUGAAUAUCGGGAUUUGCUAGUGGUGAUAGUAGCUUUAAUGUAAAAAUAAGUAACUCUCCUACUAGUUUAUUAAAUAAAAGGGUUCAAUUAAGGUUUGGAAUAGGUUUAAAUAUUAGAGAAAAGGCUUUAAUUCAAUAUUUAGUUGCUUACUUUGAUUUGAGUGAUAAUUUAAAAAACAUUUAUUUUGAUUUAAAUUCUGCUAGAUUUGAAGUUGUGAAAUUUUUAGAUAUAACAGACAAAAUAAUACCUUUUUUUGAUAAAUAUCCAAUACAAGGGAAAAAAAGUUUAGAUUAUAUUAAUUUCAAAGAAGUAGCUGAUAUUAUUAAAAGUAAAAAUCAUUUAACAUCAGAAGGUUUUCAGGAAAUUUUAGAUAUUAAAGCUAGUAUGAAUAAGUAAUUACUAGGAUUGGGUAUAUUUAAUUAUUUUAUUUUUUGUACGAUAAAUUUGAUCGCUAUGUAAUAUUGUGGGCUAAAGACGUGCCACAUAUUCCUUAACAAAGAGAUGCGAAAUAGCGAUAUUGAGCUAAUCUCAAAAAAGAGGGUAAAAAAUAUAUGGAUUGUAGCCUGAAACUCGGCUGCAUGAAUAAGAAAUUGCUAGUAAUCGUGAAUCACCAUGUCACGGUGAAUAAAACCUUGGAUUGGUACUAACCACUCGUCACAUGCUGAAAGGAGUAUGCGCAAUAAGUUUGCUUUCUUAUUUUAAAUCCAUAGUAAUGAUAGGAUUACAUUUUUUUAAUAGGAUUCUUCGUAUGCGUGACUCUAAUUAGUGUUAAGUCGAAAUAUGGUUCGGGUAGUGGAAGUUGCCCGGGGUUGAUUAACCAUUAACAUAGUAUAAGCUGUAUAUGUCCAGGCUCUUUUACUUAGAGAAGCAUAUACACGUUAUUUAAAUUAUUUAUUAUUUAGCGUAAAAGGCUAUGGUACGGGGUGCUAAGCACCCUAAACUCUUUCUCGGUGGCGAGUUGUGGUAGCUUAAAUACAGUUACAGCUGAGGUGUUCGACUCACCUAAGGAGCUCAAGAAAUGCAAAUUAGGUUAUAAAUAUAAAGAGUAGCUUUAUGUUAAUAUGUGUAUUAUCUUUUAAUCCUUUCCAUGCUUUGCUACAAUGAACCUCUCUCAAGACAGUAGAGGAGUUGUGGAUAACUAUAAAUCAAACUAACUGUAAUAUAUUAUUAUAAUAAAUGACUAUAUUUUCAUAUACUUUUACUGAACUAAGAUUUACUUUUUUUAGUUUAGCUUCUAGUAAGAUAAGUUUAGUUCGUAAAUAUGUAACAUUUUCGCCAAUAAAUUCAAGAUUCACAGGUGUAAGAACGUAUUUGAAUUUGGAUAAUCCAAAAUCUGUUCUUAAAGAUAAUAAGGGAAAAUCCGGUGUUUAUCGGUUUGUUAAUUUACUAAAUGGUAAGACAUAUAUAGGAAGUUCUACGGAUUUAUCACGUAGACUAAGAGAUUAUUUUUCAUCCGGUUGAUUAAAAAAGGAGCUCCAAAGAAAUAAGAGUGUAAUAUAUAGAGCUUUGUUGAAAUAUGGAUAUCUUAAUUUUAGGUUAGACAUUUUAGAGUAUUGCGAAAAAUCUGAAUGUAUUAAUCGAGAACAGUAUUAUAUUGAUACAUUAAGCCCUUUUUAUAAUAUUUGUACAAAAGCAGGUUCAUCGUUAGGUCGCUUAACAACUGAUACUACACGUUUUAAAUUAAGAAUGGCUAGAAUGGUUUUAUUACAUAAAAGAAGUAAUAAAAAUUUAAAUCUAGAUGAGUUUAUUGUGGAAUACUUAACUAUGAAGGUUGAUAAGUUAGAGUUAAAAUUGGUCAAAUUACAGAAAGAACUAAAAUCUGUAUUUGAAAAAUCUGUAUUUAAACAAUCAGAUCUUACUCGUUUCAAAAAACUCCAAGCAACUUUAACAGCAGAACCUGUCGCAGUUUUAGACUUAAAUUCAGGAAUAACCAUCAGGUACCCUUCUGCGCGAAAUGCUGCUUUGGCAUUGAAUGCUAGUAAUUCUACUAUUAUGAAUAAAUUAAAAGGUAAGAAUACUAAGCCGUACAAAGGUAGAUAUGUAAUCAGUAAAGCAGGUUUUUCAAAUUAAAUAUGAAUUUUAUAUCAAUAAGUUCAAGGUAAAUAAAUGUAGGAUAUUUUGUAGUGGAAGUUGCACGGGAUUGAUUAGCCAUU
rnacentral:rRNA from 1 species